GCCUCGUUAGCGCAGUAGGUAGCGCGUCAGUCUCAUAAUCUGAAGGUCGUAAGGUCGUGAGUUCGAUCCUCACACGGGGCA